rnacentral:rRNA from 3 species
UGGGGAAUAUUGCACAAUGGGCGCAAGCCUGAUGCAGCCAUGCCGCGUGUAUGAAGAAGGCCUUCGGGUUGUAAAGUACUUUCAGCGGGGAGGAAGGCGAUAAGGUUAAUAACCUUGUCGAUUGACGUUACCCGCAGAAGAAGCACCGGCUAACUCCGUG